AUGGUGAGGGAAACCACCGAAGCGCACGGCGGCGAGGUGACCAUCAUGUCGGCGACGACGGUGGCGCCGGCGCUGCCGCUGCAGGAGCACCGCCUGCCGCUGUCUAACCUGGACCUCCUCCUGCCGCCCAUCGACGUCGGCGUCUUCUUCUGCUACCUCCACCCGGCGCCCACCGCGGCUGCGCUCAAGGAGGCGCUCGCCAAAGUGCUGGUGGCGUACUACCCGCUCGCGGGAGAGGUUGUGGCCAACGGUGACGGCGAGCCGGAGCUGCUGUGCACCUGCCGCGGCGUCGACUUCACCGAGGCAAGCGCCGGCGACACCGAGCUGCGGGAGCUCCGGUUGGGCAUCGUGGACGAGGGCAUCGACAAGCUUGUUCCCUCCAAGAAGGCCGGCGUCAUGUCUGUUCAGGUGAAGAUAAGCCCAACAUGGAGCAGGUCACAAAGUUUAAGUGCGGCGGCGCCGUCGUCGGCUGCACUUUCGACCACCGGGUCUGCGACGCGCCUACUCCUUCAACAUGUUCCUCGUCGCAUGGGGCGCCGCAGCCCGUGGUGGCUUCGUACCACCGGCCCCGACCUUCCGCCGCUCCCUAGUGUCCCCGCGCGACCCAUCCCUGCCCUGAUCGACCGCCUUUUCUCGCCUCUGAGCUCAGCGCCGCCACCCCCUCCGGCCACCGUUGCCGCCACCGCUGUCAACCGCAUCUACCAUAUAGCCACGGCCGACGUCGCGGCGCUGCAGUCCACGGCCGGGCCAGGGCGCACGAAGCUUGAGGCAUUCACGGCCCACCUGUGGCAACUCUGCUCUAAGGCGGCCUCAGCGCAUCAGCAUCUGUGCUGCAUGGGCAUGGUCGUGGACGGGCGCGCCCGCAUGUCACCGGACGGCGCCAUGAAGGCCUACUUCGGUAACGUGCUGACCAUAACUUACGGUGUCACCAGCACGGACGACCUUCGUCGUCGCAUGGCGCUCGCCGACGUGGCAGAUGACGUCCACCGGUGGGUGCGUGAGGCCGCGACGGAUGAGCACUUCCGGGGGCUCAUCGACUGGGUGGAGGCGCUACGGCCCAAACCGGCCGCGGCCAGGGCGUACCUAGGCGGCACCGGCGGCAACAAGGCGACGGCGUGCAUCGUGUCGUCGGGGAUGAGUUUCCCAGUCCGGGAGAUUAACUUUGGGACGGGCCUGCCGGCGUUCGCGUCGUACCACUUCCCGUGGCCCGCCGGCGCGGCUUACGUGAUGCCGAUGCCGAGCGCGCGCGGGGACGGCGAGUGGGUGGUGUACGUGCAUGCGGCGCCGGAGCUGGUGAAGGUGAUAGAGGAGGAGCCGACCGUUUUCAAAGUUCUGGAGAACAGCUAUGUGUUCGGAUGA
rnacentral:rRNA from 1 species